UUCAGAAUCUGCUCAACUGAGACAUUUUACAUAAUUCAGUAGAUCAACAUAUGUCUUAUGUAAGAGACAGAUGGUUUGCUUUAUUAUUGGUACUGGCAAUUUAACCCAGGGGUGCUUUACCACUGAGUCAUACCCCCAACACUUUUUUUUAAUUUUGACACAGUCUCAUUAGGUUGCUUAGGGCUUCACUGAGUUUCUGGGGCUGCUUCAAACUUGAGCUCCUCCUACUUCCUCUCCUGAGUUGCUGGGAUUACAGGCAUAUGUUUGAUUUAUUGGAUUAUUACUCGUCAUUAUUAAGGACCCAUCAAAUCUUAAGUACUAUGCUAAGGAUUCAGUCCUGCUAAGCACCUAUGAGAAGUCUCAAAAGGGUCAAGUUCCUCCAGGAGCUCAUCACCAAAGAUGAAGAUGAACCAAAAAAAAAAAAAAAAAAUGUACAGAUUCAAGCAACAUGUAUAAAGGGAUCUAAAGGAGUACUUCAAAGUGCCAAGAUGUGUUGUUAAUGGAGUCAUGAGGGGCCAUCAGCUUGUAGUAACUUCACAGAGGAAAUGAAUUUUAGUAGCUUUGAUAGAGAAGUAAAACCAUAUUGGAAAGGAGAAAUAGCCAGAAGGUGCUGGGAAUGGAAGUCAGAAUCUCAUACAUGCUAAGCAAGCACUCUACCACUGAGCUACAUCCCCAGCCAGGAAUUGAGCUAAAUAGAGGUAAGAUAAGCUGGUGAAGAGUUUGAAAACUCUUAAUUUUCUUAAGAAAUUUUUAUUAGCUGGGUGAAAUUGGGCAAGUUAAUAUCUACCGCCCAGUGAUUAUAUGAAGAUUAAAUGAAAAAAAAAAAAAGAAUGUAAAGUGCUUAGAGAGAUGCUCCAUAAUUUCAUCAUUGAUCAAAAUAAUACUUUAGAGAAUUCAAAUCAUAGAAAUGCAUUAAAUGAAAAUUACAGUCUACCUUCUCAAUUCACAUUGUCUCUAACCUUUUGGUGUACAUUUUCCAGUGUUUAUAUGCAAUAAUUAUCAACAUAUUAUUUUGCAUCUUGACAAUAUCUUGAAGAAUUUUCCCGGUCAGCAUGGAGAGAUUUACCUCACAGUAUUCCAUUGUAUGUCCAUUAAUUAAUUUAGCCAUAUUCCUAGUUAUGGGCCAACAAUGCUUCAAUAGGACAUCCUAGAACAUAUAUCUUUUUACUAUUGUGAGAAUGUUUUAUAAGUGAAAAUGCUGAGUUGAAAAGUAUGAAUAUUUUAAGUUUUAGUAUAUUUUGUUAAAUUGUUCCCAUCCUCCCUAUAGUGUAG
rnacentral:tRNA from 1 species